ACCCAGCCGACCGGCAGCGCGCAGAGCCGUCGGCGUGGGGGGUGCCAUUUUGCAGUCGUAAGCACUUGAUACAUAUAGCGCGGCGCGGUCGGAACCGCCAUCAGUCGUGCACCUUCCUCCACUGUGGCAAAAAGCUUUUUGCCACAGUGUCGCCAUUCGAUUGUGUCGCUAGCGUCUGUCGCCAUCCCGCCCACACCCCAUCGCCAGAGUUUGUCGCCCUCGACCACCUCAGCCUUUGCAGGAAGCUGCUCUGCUUUUUGCUCUUUUACCCUCCCCUGACUCCAACUCCCCGCGCCGUCUUCGCCACAGCUCAUCCUUCCGCUUUUUUGCUUUUUUACCCUUCCCUGACUUCGACUCCCCGCGCCGUCUUCGCCGCAGCUCAUCCUUCCGCUUCCGUGCCGUCUUCACCGCAGCUCAUCCUUCCGCUUCCGUGCCGUCUUCACCACAGCUCAUCCUCUCGCUUCCGUGCCGUCUUCACCACAGCUCAUCCUUCCGCUUAAAUUCGUAAAUCAUGGCCAACAUUGAUGCCGUGGCUAUAUUCAACGCGCUGGACGAUGGUGAAAAAUUCGUGUCUGUAUCAACUCUCCCCCUCGGGGUGCCACACGCUGUGCUGCAACUGCAACGAAUCAGCACGAAACAUGGGGAGAAGUUAAAGGCGCGGGUUGCGCACCAUGAAGAAGGGGAAGCAGAUAUCAUAGUAAUCCUUCCAUCAAGAUUCGCUGCAAUGAGCGACGAAGCUGUGAGUGGAAUCAACGCAAUGGCUGAUGCGGGCCACCCGUACAGCCUCCGAUUUAAUGGGCGUGAUGGCAAUGCUUUUAAAGUAUCACUUUCAUGAUUUUUGAAUA